AAACUACGAAGUUCACAUGAUCUAUCUCGAUCAGGCUUCAUGGGAAGAGUGUCAUCUCCUAUUAAAGAAGCAAAAACAACUCCUCGAGAGUUUGGGAAGAAUUUCUGAAAGGCAAGAGGCCGGGGGGCAAAUUUCCACUUCGGCCACAACCAAUAUUCGGCCUAAGAAAAUUGUUAAUUCGGCCGAAGAACAAAGGCCACCUAUUUUUUC
rnacentral:lncRNA from 1 species